CACGUAGGCGGAUCGUUAAGUCGGGGGUGAAAUCCUGGAGCUCAACUCCAGAACUGCCUUCGAUACUGGCGAUCUUGAGUCCGGAAGAGGUGAGUGGAACUCCUAGUGUAGAGGUGGAAUUCGUAGAUAUUAGGAAGAACACCAGUGGCGAAGGCGGCUCACUGGUCCGGUACUGACGCUGAGGUGCGAAAGCGUGGGAGCAAACA
rnacentral:rRNA from 1 species